GCCGCAUUGUCUGGACUGCUGUAUUUGCAAUCAGAGCAGAUAGCAGAAGCACAAGCACUUCCUGCACAGCUUCUUGGCUGCGACCUGGACUGACCCCACGAACAGCAAGUCAGGGGGACUGUGAGAAUUCAAGGAGCUGUGGGUGAGGUGGCCAACUUCUUCCUCUUCAUGCUCAUCUUUCCCAAGUGACCUUCCAAGGAUCUGAAGCUUUACUCAAGAGGCUUCUCAGGAAUGUCUCCAGCAGCAAUACCAUAGGCAGUGUGUCAUCCAGUGUGAGCAUCCUGGAGGAAAACACAGGUCCUGGUCUGUUCAACUUCCUCCCCAUGGACGACUGUUUCUUUACUUUUUCUGCUCAAGGGUAAAAGAAGGACUGAGGGUCAGUAUUACACUUCAUUCUAUAAAUUUUUUUAGUCUGCAAGAUUUCUAAGAAAGUUUUCGCACUUUUGAAAACCCAAUACACUAGAGAUAUAAUAGUUCUACUCUGGUUUACUCUAUUCACACACUGUGCUUUUGUAUUUCAGAAUCUUAUAUGAGUCUGCUAGAGGCAGUAAGAGGAAAGGACCUUUCUCAGAGUCAGAGAUUGCAGAUGACCUCAUGCUGAAGAGACAGGAUGCAAUGCACAAAGCUUCUGGGGUACCCACAGGGCACCACGAGGAACUUGGCAGAGGAGCACGUGAAGAGCUGCAGUGCUGUCGAAAACUUGGCCCUCGGCCUUCACCACGUGCCCAGCUGUGCCAGUGUGGAGAGCUGCUUUGAUUGACUGAUUUCCUAGAGAAAAGCAUCAAGCCAGGACUUCUGCAAAAGACUGGCACAGAUCCUCUCCUCCCUUUAGGGGUAGGGGCUGGAUUAGAGUGGGGAAGAAUGGGAACAGCAGAAAUCGUCCUUACAGGAGAAGGAGGAAACUAACAGAGUCUUGCAUCUCAGGUCAGCUUUUCUCUACGUUUCCCCCACCCUUCUUGUGAACAAUAAGUCCAUUUGCUAUCUUCUUUUCCUUCCUUCCCCUUCUCUCCCUGCAACACUUGGCCUGGGAACAGGGUGAAGGGGGUUUUUGUAGCAGUACCCAGAGCAAGCAGGAGGGUGGAGGCCCUUUGUAGCCUUGGCCAGGGAAGGGCUUGGAGGAGGCUGCU
rnacentral:lncRNA from 1 species